AACAGGAUUAGAUACCCUGGUAGUCCACGCCGUAAACGAUGUCGACUUGGAGGUUGUGCCCUUGAGGCGUGGCUUCCGGAGCUAACGCGUUAAGUCGACCGCCUGGGGAGUGCGGCCGCAAGGUUAAAACUCAAAUGAAUUGACGGGGGCCCGCACAAGCGGUGGAGCAUGUGGUUUAAUUCGAUGCAACGCGAAGAACCUUACCUACUCUUGACAUCCAGAGAACUUAGCAGAGAUGCUUUAGUGCCUUCGGGAACUCUGAGACAGGUGCUGCAUGGCUGUCGUCAGCUCGUGUUGUGAAAUGUUGGGUUAAGUCCCGCAACGAGCGCAACCCUUAUCCUUUGUUGCCAGCGGUUCGGCCGGGAACUCAAAGGAGACUGCCAGUGAUAAACUGGAGGAAGGUGGGGAUGACGUCAAGUCAUCAUGGCCCUUACGAGUAGGGCUACACACGUGCUACAAUGGCAUAUACAAAGAGAAGCGACCUCGCGAGAGCAAGCGGACCUCAUAAAGUAUGUCGUAGUCCGGAUUGGAGUCUGCAACUCGACUCCAUGAAGUCGGAAUCGCUAGUAAUCGUGGAUCAGAAUGCCACGGUGAAUACGUUCCCGGGCCUUGUACACACCGCCCGUCACACCAUGGGAGUGGGUUGCAAAAGAAGUAGGUAGCUUAACCUUCGGGAGGGCGCUUACCACUUUGUGAUUCAUGACUGGGGUGAAGUCGUAACAAGGUAACC
rnacentral:rRNA from 1 species